rnacentral:lncRNA from 1 species
UGUUGUUUCCUUUACUGUUUUUUCGAAAUGUGGGAGUGAAAUGUACAUGUGACUCAUAUAUGUCACCCCUCUCAUCAGGUGUAUUGGCACUUGGUUUCAGUGUAAUUCUUGUAGUUUCUUUCACUGUUUUCUCGAAAUGUGAAAGUUAAACAUACCUGCAACUUUCUCCCUCUCUUUCUCAUCAUGUGUAUUGGCACUUGGUUUCAGUGUGUGGGCCUUGUUCUUUCCAUUACUAUUUUCUCAAAAUGUGGGAGUGAAACGUACGUACGACUCAUUUGUGUCACCCCUCUAUCUCAUCAUGUGUAUAGACACUUGAUUUUAGUGUAUGGUUCUUGUUGUUUCUUUAUUGUUUUCUCAAAGUAUGGGGAGUGAAAUGUACCUACAACUCAUUUAUGUCACUC